rnacentral:tRNA from 1 species
AAGGAUUUAAGUUAAAUAGAAACUAGUAGCCUUCAAAGCUAGAAAUAGGGAACGUUCCUAAGCCUUA